AUCGGGUGGGGAAAAAAACUGGAUCGAAGAAGAGUGGGCAGAAAAGCGGUGCGGUAGCUGAAGGAAGAGGGCGGAGGUCAUAGGGACGGUGGCGGACAGCACGGUCCCUCGUCGCUUGGCUUGCCUCCAGUUUUUUUCACGAUUCGGCCGUGGAUGCAGGGGACUGAGCCACGGCAUCACCGAUUGGCUUGCCUCCAGUUUGCAAGCGCGGAGGUGAAUUGCUACCUGAACAGGGGUGGUUCGUGCAGCCGGGACCAAUGGUGAGCCUGAGCGUGGAAGAAGCUCCGUGCGAUGGGAGCUGAUGAAACCUGCCGGCCUGGCGCAGGUGACCAACGGAGCAACCAUGGGUUCAGGCAUGAAUAGCUGACGGAAAACCGAAUACCUAAGUUUAACCGAGAGCUGGACAUGGGCAGCCGCCGGUAGGCAUCAGUAGCUCAAACCGAGCCCGGCCUGGCAGGCGAUUGCUCGGAUGAGGUGCUGUCACGGAACCAGAUGAGUUGUGGAUAACCAAAAACAUGCAGUAGUAAAAGCCAAUUCAGAAGUGUUGCAGGUCUGGAACCCCGCAUUGGCCAUCUCCAUAUUUUUUGCUAGUAUAUGCCAAAAACCAUGGCGCGGAAGCAGGACGACCUGGCCGGCCAACAGCAACAACGUCCACCCAUCAAAGGCCUGCAUGAAGAAAGACAUUGAGAUGUAAGUUUGUUCUCGGUAUCCGACGGCGCUAGCCUUGCACGCAGCUGCUUCACUGACAGGAAGACGCAUUCCACGGGAGGACAGGCAUCACGGCGGCAAUCGGUAGUAUGUGGCCGUGGCUGUCUUAGUUGCAGGACUCACCAGGGACACACAGAGCGGGGGCUCCUCUGUUGCCCUUCCACAUCUGAGGCACGGUGCUGCUGGCCACGUGGCGCCGUCCAUGGCGGGGCUCUUCGGCCGCCGUGCCAUCUAACGAAAAGAGACCCAAGCAUGGGAGAACCUAGUUGAUCUUUCCCACAGCUCCUAACCGCCGGCGACCAUGUCUGGCUCCCGCGUCCAGCGCAGGCCGCCUCAAGAAGGGACGGGGAUGGGAGGCAACCAACUUGGCCGCGGUCUAGCAAAUCGGGAGGCCGAAACUGCUCCCGUUCAGCCUUGCCGCCAUGACCCACCAGCAGCACCACACGGUCGCUGUUGCCCAUCCAUGGCGGUGGCACGGAUGUGGAGGCGGCGCGACGGCUUGGGGAAGGAAAAGAAGAUAACAUGACAAAAUCAAAUCGCUUUAGAGAGGAUCUAGAACGCCAUGGGAGAAUCGCUGUGGAGAGGGCUCCGGAACUCCAUGGGAGAAGCGAUCGAGAGAUCCUUAUUCUUCACGAUUUUUCUGUGAAAGCGGUGCGGCCGUGGGGUAAGAAAAGUGGUAGAAAGUGGGUCCAUCCCGUAGAUUUCUCUGGAGGGAGCACUAACCGGAAGUUGCCUAACAAACCGGUAGCCGGUAUCCACCCACGCGAGAAAAAAAAAAUCCAAACGGGUUAAGUGACCAAGUGGUAAAAGAUGAGACUACGUGUCAGCAAACAAUCGGAGGAAGAGUUGGAUAAAUAGCAAUCUACAGUAACUGAAACUCUGAGAGCGUGUAAAUUUGUUUAGCUUUUAUAUAGUGUAUAAUGUAUAAUAAUGUGGGCGCCUCGUGUAGCCGAUAGAUUCGUACCACGUGCAGUGCGUCACCAUGCAAGUACUUCGGUCACCCACAUGCUGAUAGUAUCAAAGAAAGAGAAAGGAACAUCCACGCUAGGGAAUUCAGAAGUCAAGUACCAAGGCAAUGUUUCGUACAAGCAAAUCAAAAGAAAGUUGGAGGAGAUGAUUUCAUGCCAUGUGAAGCCACAAGAGUAUCUGUUGACUGGAGACGUGUUUGGCCGAAAAUCCACAAAGCGUUGCAUGACUACAUCUGCAGCGUCAACCCUGUUGACAGCGCUAAUUAAAUACCACACGAGUCAUCGUGUCGUGAAAUCGCCAAAUUCUCCACCCAAAACAAGGAUCGUCGGAACUUCAUCGGCUGGACUCCACUACAUUCGAUACAAAAAUAUCAGGUGCUAUAUUUUCAAUCUAUAUCUAAUGAUAAAGAAAAUAAGGUUUCUUACGGUCCAACACUUUUUUGGAUCAAUUUACCCUCCCACCAAAAUCACAAUACAUCUGAAUACCACCGUAAUUGUUGGUCCGUCCGCGUCAAACCUGCCGUCUCGAUCGUACGUGGUAGUUUCUGUUUUGCAUUGUUUCGUACGUGGUAUGUCUGCUAGCCGGAUCGAUUGCUCGUGCUUGCCCCUCCCCACGAUUCCAAAAAUCCAAAUCCUACACGAGACCCAGCCCGAGCCGGAAAGCAAUGUUGGAGCGAUCCCGCAUCUACUCAUAGCGCGUCGACUUCAUACAUCUCCAUGGCGAUUUAGUCUCUCAUCUAAGGAAAGAACUCUAGAUCGAUCGGGUAUAGCCGUAAUAGGCUUUCCUAACGGGACUCUUUCAUAGCUACAAUCUCCUGGUCCCUAUAUAUCCACGUGAGAUCUAGGAGACGAGAUUGACCUGCACCAAAUCUACCCAAUAGCUUGGCCACGACCAACUAUCGAUGGAAUAAGAAGCGCUAGCUCGAGGAGGUAGCCACGGCAGCCCCGACGCGCCAUCAGGUCAGCUUGGGUCAGAGGUGAGAUGUGACCGUGGCUGAGGCUGGCGCAGACGUGGUCUUCGACUCUUCGUGGUGCAUUGCGUCGGGAUGACGAACCAGGUACUUGUUGAAACGAUGGAGGAUCUUGGUGUCAACUCGGAGACAAUGAACUCCGCAGGCGUGCUACUGACGGUGCACAACGCCUGGAUGACGAACCAGGUGCAGAUCAUGACGUGGAGGCAAGAUGGUCUCCAAGUCUCAUCAGAACGAUGGAUGAUCUUGGGAAAGUUGAAAAAUAGAUUGGUCGGGCCGUCGCAACAAAUUAGCACGCUGCCGCGAUCUGUACUGAUGACCUAUGUGUUCCGGUGUGCGCCCCUGUUGGGCAGGAUUAGCUCCAACAACAUGCUGUCAGUCCUCAGGUGGUUUGGUCCAGCGCGACAUGGGCGCUCUCUGGAGCUUGCGCUGCUUUUUGAGUGAGCUAAGUCACGCAAUGUUGUGAGCAUUUGUACUGUAUAAACAUGUUCCAGGUAUUAUUCCCUCCGACAGUUCUCUGCAUAUUUGAGAAAGGUGAGGCCAAGGCUUGGAUGACUGGGUGCUCCUGGAGGAAGAAAAAAGUACCACAAGCGCAGCUUGCUUUUGAACUGAUGGUCAGUUAAAACACAUUGUCCUACAGCGGGAUUCUCAGUGUAUAUUAGCAAGUAGUGCAUUGCUGAAUUCAAUAGAAGAAGCUCGAGUUCUUGGAUAGCAUCUGAUGUGCACUGGCUGAAGGUAAAUUUUGAUGCCUCGGCUGCUGCCGAACCUCAGAACCUCAGGCUAUGGUGUUGUACAUCAUGGGAAGAAUUACUUUGCAAACCGACCAAUCCUUGAAUCUGCAAAGGUUUUGAUCUGCUAUGAGAGGACGUGACACUCUUGAUUUUUUUAUUUUGCCCCUCAGAUCUUUGUUAUCUGUGCGCAAGUACCAAACACACAUUGUUUUGGCGGAAUCGUUGGUUCAGGUCAAUCACUUUUUUUGUUUUUGUUUUGAAAUUAACCAGCUUUUUCGGUUUAUAGUUUCCAUCAGAGUCUCGCUCGGUCCGCCAGGCGGGCGCUAACAAAUGUGUUUUCCUACAUAAUACCACAUUUUAUCAAUGUUUCUUCUGCCGCAACACAUAUUUAAUGGUUGAGGAAGAUCGAGAGAAAAAAGAAAGGGGAUGGAGGGAUGCUCGCAAGCAGGAAAAGGGGGCGGAGCUAAGGGCCGGAAAGAGGUGAUGAUGUGCGCUGGUGCAAGGAGAAGGGCGUGGAGGCAACAUGCAGGUGAAAGGUGUGGUGUGCUGCUGAAUUUAUCUCACGGUUUGGUGGGGGCGAAGGGAACAAGUCACCGGGGUUUUCUUUUGGGAGGUCCGACGGUUUGGUCUCAAGAUUGCUGGGUUUUUGAACCAGUAGGUGGAAGGUGCACCACAUCGUCGAAGUUAGAACGGAAAAUUAGUGAAAGUACAAAGGGAAUGAGUAUUUCGAGCGGGUAAGGCGUUAGGAUUGUUGGUUUUGUGUAUUUGAGUUUGAGUUCCCACAUAGCUAUAUAUGUGUCACCCACCCUCGACGAUGGUGACAAAGAGGAGAAGUGUCAACACGAAUGGUUUGCUGAAACGUUUGAGUAUUUGUUUCUCCCGGUGCAACGCACGGGCACUUUUACUAGUUACGUAAAAUUUAUUUUGCCUACUAUUUUCUUUCGCUUAUACUAUUAUUUGCGUGCAGUUUUUGCACCACAAUAUACCUGCAGAUUGAAACAAAGCUUCGACUGCUCUGCUCGAUUGACCGCGCCCACCAUCGCGCACUGAUUGCACUCAGGGUUUACCUGUCUUGGACCCAACAUUACGAACUCAAUAUAUUCGGAUGCUCACCCGCCGCGGAUCGACCAUAUCAACUGCGUCCUCUUCAUCGGCCAUGCCAGCUAGGCGUCGCGUGGCUACAUCAACUAUCUUGGAUGGCGCAAUUAUUUCAGCUGCACUCGACGCAAGGAUUAUCUUGGAUAGCGCAAUUAUUUUGACUGCGCCUGCCGCAUGGACUUUCUUUGGUGGCGCAAUUAUUUUGACUGCGCCCGCCGCAUGGACUUUCUUUGGUGGCGCAACUAUUUCGACUGCGCCCGCCGCAUGGACUUUCUUUGGUGACGCAACUAUUUCGACUGCGCCCGCCGCAUGGACUUUAUUUGGUGGCGCAACUACUUCGACUGCGCCCUUCGCAUGGACUAUCUUUGGUGGCGCAACUAUUUCGACUACGCCCGUCGCAACGAUUAUCUUUGGCCUCGCGACUAUUUCGACUGCGCCCGCUACAUCAGCUAUUUCUGAUUGACUACUUCGAUUGCGUCUACCAUGUGAUCUGUCUCCACAUUGGCCUCGCCGCAGUCGAACUCAGUGUUCCUCUUUCUUUUGCCACACCCGAUGUUCAGGGAGGCGCCAUUAUCCGUGAAAAUUUUGGGGGUGUGGGGGUCAAAUCCGUGGCAACCAAGGAGCUCUUGAUACCAUAUGAUAAGGGCUAAGCCCAAGGGUGUGCCCGAUCUUCACGGAUUUGGAUGGGAUUCAUGGGGGAGGUGGAAGAACACGAAGAACGUGGGUGGAAAGCGGGGUGGAGCGAAGAUACAAACGCAACACACACACAACCGGUUGUUCUUCGUUGGCCCGAUACACCAACCCAAUGGAAUUGCAAGAAAAAGACCCACAAGGGGGAUCCCGCCGCCCCUCCCACCAUGAGAUGAGAUAUUUGCCUAAACCUAAACCCAUCAUUCCUCAGAAAAGAUUGGCAAUAGCAAUUGAUAGAGUUCCAAAGAGGAAAAGAGUGCAAAUAGAUAGAAUUGCAAAAGCAAAAGAUCCAAAACACUAGAAUUCCUAGAAUGGAAGAGAUCAACUACCUAGAAGAGUAGAUAACUUCGUAGAUUGGUAGAUCUAGAAGGGUUUCCCGCGGGAAGGAGCAUAGCUCAUGUUUUCUCUUACAUCAAGUCUGAAUCUCAGAUCUGAGCCAACAAGGCUAUUUAUAGUUGGUGGGGCGAAGGGGUAAGUUACAUGCUGGAUCUGCCAGUUUUGGUGCUGAAACGCGGGUAGGCGGAAGUUCCGGUCGGGCGGAAGUUCCGGUCCGAUCGGGCCGGAAGUUCCAGCCAACUUCCGGCCUAGCUCCGGAAACUGUCGAUUUCCUUGCAGCACUAUCCAGUUUUGUUUUGGCGCGUUUCCGGAACAAGGACGGAACUUGGGCGGAAGUUCCGGUGGCCGGAAGUUCCGGUCGUCAGGGGCGGAAGUUCCGGCUGGAUGCUUUUUCCUGGGCGCUGGAGGGCAUCUGGGAGGCAUCUGGCCGGAAGUUCCGGUCCUAGGGGGCGGAAGUUCCGGCUGGAGCGUUGGGACUCCAUCUUCUUCAUUUCCAGCUCCCUCUUCCUUGGCGUGGUCUCCGUGGCUUGCGUCUUGGUCGAUGUACCUGAUUGAACAUAGUGUAUUUGCAUGAAGUAGCACGCCAUCCAAAGGGGUAUCAAAUGCAUACGUGGAAAGGAGCGAAUUCACCUCUUGGUGUAGGGCUUGGGCUCGAGCUCGUGUCAUUGGACCACGAGGAGGGCUUGUCGGUCUUGAGGAGGCGGUGUCCAAAGGCCACCCCGUAUCAUCUCCCCCCCUUGGGAAAGAGUCGUCCUCGACUCUAUGUUCUCCUCAUCUCCAUGAUAGGGUGAGAGGUCGGACACAUUGAAUGUGUUGCUCACCAAGUACUUGGAUGUUGGUAUGUCGAUGACGUAAGCGUUGUCGUUGAUGCGCUUGAGGACCUUGAAGGGACCAUCGCCUCGAGGCUUGAGCUUGGAGUUUCUUUCUUGAGGAAAGCGGUCCUUGCGAAGAUGUAUCCACACUAGGUCUCCUUCAUUGAAGAUCCGUGCCUUUUUCUUCAUGUUGAGUCUACUUGCUUGAGGAAGAACUUGUUGCUCGAUCGUUUCCCUUGUAUCUUCUUGUAGCUUCUUCAUGUAUUGGGCUCGCUUGUCGAUGUUCAUGUUUACUUGCUCAUGUAGCGGGAGAGGAAGGAGGUCAAUCGUCGUAGGUGGUUCAAACCCGUAGACAACCAUGAAUGGGCUUCUCAUUGUAGUAGAGUGCUUGGCGCGGUUGUAGGCAAACUCCGCGUGCGGGAUGCAAUCUUCCCAUGACUUCAAAUUCUUCUUGACAAGGACUCGGAGUAGUGUGGAGAGGCUUCGGUUCACCACUUUUGUUUGUCCAUCGGUUUGUGGGUGCGAGGAUGAUGAAAACAAAAGCUUGACGUUGAACUUGGCCAUUAGUGUCUUCCAAAGGUAGCUCAUGAACUUGACAUCUCGGUCUGAAACAAUGCUUCUUGGUACACUGUGGAGUCUCACAAUUUCCCUAAAAAACAAAGAGGCAAUAUGUGAAGCAUCAUCCGUUCGGGAGCAUGGUAUGAAAUGAGCCAUUUUAGAGAAUCGAUCAACCACUACAAAAAUUGAAUCAUGACCAUAUUUGGUUCGAGGAAAUCCUAGUACGAAAUCCAUACUUAUAUCGGACCAAGGAGCAUAAGGAAUAGGCAAUGGUGUAUAAAGACCAUAGGGGUUGGAAGUGGACUUAGCUUGUAAGCAUGUUGUACACCGUCGGCAAAGGCGUUCCACGUCGCGGUACAUUCUUGGCCAAUAAUAGUGAGUGGAAACCAUGGCAUAUGUCUUCUCUCGUCCAAAGUGUCCCAUAAGACCACCACCAUGCGAUUCUUGUAAUAGCAAAAGGCGAAGCAAAGACAUGGGAAUACAAAGUUUGUUGCCCUUGAACAAGAAUCCUUGGUGCAAAUAGAAAUCAUCGAUGCCCUUAUCAUUAGAACACUUUGCGAAGAUUGGGCCAAAGAAAGUAUCGGAGGCAUAUAAGUCUUUGAUUUCAUCAAGACCCAAAACAUGGAAAUCCAAUCGAGUGAGUAAAAGGGUGAGUUUGCGGGAAAGAGCAUCCGCAACUACAUUGUCCUUGCCCUUCUUGUAUUUGAUUACAUAUGGAAAGGACUCAAUGAACUUAACCCGUUUUGCAUGUUGUUUGUUCAAAUUGUGUUGACUUUUCAAAUACUUCAAAGACUCAUGGUCGGAAUGAAUGACAAACUCUUUUGGCCAAAGGUAAUGUUGCCAAACUUCAAGAACACGAACUAAAGCAUAAAGUUCCUUGUCAUAUAUAGGAUAGUUGAGGCGUGCGCCAUCCAACUUUUCGCUAUAGUAUGCCACGGGUUUUCCAUUUUGCAUGAGGACACCACCAAUUCCAAGUCCACUCGCAUCACAUUCUAUCUCAAAAGUUUUUGUAAAAUCGGGAAGAAUGAGGAGUGGUGCCUCGGUGAGUUUCUUUUUCAAUUCAUCAAAAGCGUGUUGUUGUGCCUUGCCCCAAACAAACGGAACAUUCUGAAGGAGAUAUGCCCUAGAGGCAAUAAUAAAGUGGUUAUUAUAUAUCUUUAUGUUUAUGAUAAAUGUUUAUAUACCAUGCUAUAAUUGUAUUAACCGAAACAUUGAUACAUGUGUGAUAUGUAAACAACAAAGAAGUCCCUAGUAUGCCUCUUAACUAGCUUGUUGAUUAAUGGAUGAUUAGUUUCAUAAUCAUGAACAUUGGAUGUUAUUAAUAACAAGGUUAUAUCAUUAUAUGAAUGAUGUAAUGGACACACCCAAUUAAGCAUAGCAUAAGAUCACGUCAUUAAAUUAUUUGCUAUAAGCUUUUGAUACAUAGUUACCUAGUCCUUAUGACCAUGAGAUCAUGUAAAUCACUUAUACCGGAAAGGUACUUUGAUUACAUCAAACGCCACUGCGUAAAUGGGUGGUUAUAA